rnacentral:rRNA from 1 species
CCUACGGGGGGCAGCAGUGGGGAAUAUUGGACAAUGGGGGGAACCCUGUUCCAGCCAUGCCGCGUGUGUGAAGAAGGCCCUCGGGUUGUAAAGCACUUUCAGUGAGGAAGAACGCCUGGUGGUUAAUACCCAUCAGGAAAGACAUCACUCACAGAAGAAGCACCGGCUAACUCCGUGCCAGCAGCCGCGGUAAUACGGAGGGUGCGAGCGUUAAUCGGAAUUACUGGGCGUAAAGCGCGCGUAGGUGGCUUGAUAAGCCGGUUGUGAAAGCCCCGGGCUCAACCUGGGAACGGCAUCCGGAACUGUCAAGCUAGAGUGCAGGAGAGGAAGGUAGAAUUCCCGGUGUAGCGGUGAAAUGCGUAGAGAUCGGGAGGAAUACCAGUGGCGAAGGCGGCCUUCUGGACUGACACUGACACUGAGGUGCGAAAGCGUGGGUAGCAAACAGGAUUAGAUACCCCAGUAGUC